rnacentral:misc_RNA from 1 species
GUGAGUGGGUGUGACAACAUU